AUGUUUGUGUGGGUGUGGAAGUGUAGGUGUGGCCUCCUCCACCUCUCAUUUGGCAGAGGUGGCCGGGCAGUUGGCCCCGCCCCCUUGUCACCCCUUGUACAAGACUGGCACGCAGGCUCUGAGUCCUGCCAGGACCUGUGGCAGCCCCAGCUGAAACAGACAGAAAAGAAUUUCUGGCACAGUUCCUUCCAGGGCAGGAGACCCUGGGAGGGUGGCCAGGAGGGUGCUUGGAAUAUGAGCAAGGCAGGCAGGUGGGGAAAGGGUAUUCCUAUCUUUCUCAUGAAACCAGCACGGAGAGGGGAAGCAUCUGCUCAGGGUCACACAGCAAGCAGUGGCAGAGCUGGACUAGAUUCUCAGAUGGACCGUAGCUCAUGGGGAUCUGCAUGGCCCUGUCGGCUGGAGGAUGACUCUCACUUUGCUGUACCAGCUUCCGAAGUCCUUUACCAGCACCUUGAAGGAGGUUCCCAGGCCCAGGGCAGAGGCUGGAUGGGUCAUCUGCCCAUCUCCUGUGGCAAGGGGCUAACUGCCAGUGCGACAUGUCCACUAUCAGCUGAGACCUGCGAGUACUGCUCCUUUUUAGGUGGGGGGGCCUCCAGAGUAGAGGAUUCAUAAGAUGGGGCCAGGGGAGCAGGGUGGGGGCCCCUGGCUUUGCCUGCAGUUGGUGGCCCUCAGACUCUCACCAAGUGUGAGCCCGCAGGAUGCUGGAGACAGUCAUAGGCAGGCUGGGGGUGGGGGACCCCACAGAGGAGACCCCCACAAGGUACGCCCCCUUCACCCAAACUGGGUGGGAUGGAGCCCAGGCCCGCUGUGACCUUCCAGCUGGGAAGAGGGUGUCUGGCCACACCCGUUACACCCCUGAUGAGACAGUAAUGAGCCCUCACCCCAUUUUAAUUACCCACUGUCCAAAUAAUUACCAGCUUGUUUAUUUCACUUAAUGGCAGCCGUACUUUUUCUCCUGGUAUUGAUUUCAUGUUUUCCCAGCCUGUUCAUUAUCUUUCCUGCCCCUUUAAUGGGCUCCCAGGUCUUGUGGGUAGAGAAGAGGGGGCUGGACGGAACGGGGAAGGGGUUGGAGGGAACAUGGAGGAAGGAGAGAUGGGUGGUCCAGGGCUUGCUGUGCAGUCCAAGGGGAGCUGAUGCUUUCUCUGGGCCUGGCAUCCUAGGACCCCAGAUCCCUGCACACCCUUGUGUCCUCCAUGCAAGGAGGAGGGAAUGCUUUAGAUGAAAAGAAGGAGGGAGAGAGGUAGCAGGGGAGACAGAAGCUGAUUUACCCCUUCCCCAAGACUCCCCACAAGAAAGGAGGAAGGGGCUGCCAAUGCCAAAACGAGGCCCAGGGGAGGCUGUAGUGAGGAGGCUGCUGGCUGGGCGGGCGUGGGGGGCUGGUGGAUGACCUCCAUUUCCUCUUGUCCUCAAGGAGCAUCUACCUCCCAGGAGCCCAGCCCCUCCUUGGCCUGACCUCCACCCUUGGCCUCUGCUUCACCUGCCUUCUGUCACCAUGGAAACGCAGGCAAUGCCGCGGUGUCCUCUGGGAUUUGGAAGAGCAGCCCAUUUCCCUGGUUUUGGUGGGGGAGGGACAGGGGAUGGGAAGAGGGGAAGGGAAGUCCAGGGCUCCUUUGGGUGAAGAUUUAGAGUCUCUUGAAGAGGUCAUUAGCUCUUUAAUAAAUCACUAAUAAUUGCAUGAAUAUUUAAAUCUUAAUAAAAAAAUACAGUGGCCCAGC
ensembl:lincRNA uncharacterized LOC102017542